rnacentral:rRNA from 1 species
GACGAACGCUGGCGGCGUGCUUAACACAUGCAAGUCGAACGGUAACAGGUCUUCGGAUGCUGACGAGUGGCGAACGGGUGAGUAAUACAUCGGAACGUGCCCGAUCGUGGGGGAUAACGGAGCGAAAGCUUUGCUAAUACCGCAUGCGAUCUACGGAUGAAAGCAGGGGACCGCAAGGCCUUGCGCGGACGGAGCGGCCGAUGGCAGAUUAGGUAGUUGGUGGGAUAAAAGCUUACCAAGCCGACGAUCUGUAGCUGGUCUGAGAGGACGACCAGCCACACUGGGACUGAGACACGGCCCAGACUCCUACGGGAGGCAGCAGUGGGGAAUUUUGGACAAUGGGCGAAAGCCUGAUCCAGCCAUGCCGCGUGCAGGAUGAAGGCCUUCGGGUUGUAAACUGCUUUUGUACGGAACGAAAAGACUCCUUCUAAUAAAGGGGGUCCAUGACGGUACCGUAAGAAUAAGCACCGGCUAACUACGUGCCAGCAGCCGCCGUAA